rnacentral:lncRNA from 1 species
GACUCGACCAACUAUGCUCUGAUACCACUAAUGUAACACCCUUGUAAAAUACCCCAAAAUUAAUUAAAACAACAAAAUAUAAAUCAGAGUAGAUAUGCAAUUUUAAGGGUGUCACACUUGACACUUCACACCAUUCACCAAAAUAGCUUGUCAUGCUCAUUUAUUAAUCCAAAGUAAAACAUUGCACAGUUCGCAGCGGAUAAAAUCUAACAACAUGCAAACCAUGUAACACAUUACAUGUAAAAUUAUUCAACAACCAAGUGAAAACAAGGUAAACAUCCCGUCCCGAUAUUACAUAUACAAGAGCAUGACCCACUAAGGAACUACACUAGACUCCAAGCACUAGCUUCUACUCAAUCACUGCUCGUUACCUGAAACAUAGUUGUAAGGGUGAGUUCCUCAAUCGAUAUAAUAAGCAUUAUAAAAUAUCAUGUAAUGUUAAGUAAAUUAACACAUUCAUCACCCUAAUCAUAUCACACAUUCAGCAACGGCAACAUCAACUCAUAAUCAUACUCAACACAAACACAAAACACACGUAUAAUAUUGGAAUACAUCCAUUCAUAUUAUACGCCAUACAUACAUUAUGCAAUGAGACUCCAUGCAUGCGGUACCGACUAUUCGUGAACACAUAGUUCAACCUCACCGAUCAAACCCAGAUACGGCUACCAAGCUCACUAGUCCCACUCAUUUGAGACCCAAUGACUCACUCACUAAUUCCUCACCAUGGGAAUUAGCUACCACCAUAAAGGCCAUGCUAUGCACGCUAAAUCACCUAGCAUGCAAACAUCAACAACAAUCCAAGAUAGACAUAUGCUCACACUCUAAGCCAUAAACAGUCCAUUCACAAUUGCAUACAUAACAGAUACAUUCACAGCAUUAUGCAUACCAUCAUACAUCAUCAGCAUGUUUAUCACAGAAUCAUAUCAUAUCAUGCUCAAUAAUAAAUCACAGUAUUAGCACACUCUACUAAUACCUAUACUGCUCAAAACAACGGGAAAUGAUCCCUACUAUAUCAUACACUAAUAUAGUACAAUCGUCAAAUAUGUACAUAACAUUUGAACAUCAAAUUUCCACUUUUCCAACAGUGUUAACCGGUUAACGUCCUGGGUUAACCGGUUAACGCAACACAGAACACGCUUUCUGGCAAUUUUUAACAGUGUUAACCGGUUAACGCCCUGGGUUAACCGGUUAACGCAAGAAAAACAUCAAUUUUUCAUAAUUCGUAACAGUGUUAACCGGUUAACACCCUGGGUUAACCGGUUAACGCAGAACAGAAAGCUGUUCCUGCGCUAACACGAAAACAGAAUGCAGAUUUCCCGCAUUUUCCGCCGUCGGAGGACUUCCGGACCUCCGAUUUCGAUUCCGUAAAAAGCUACACGUCCAGCAAAUUACGACUCACCCAAUUAUCGAUUCAAUAACAGUUUUAACAUAACUUAUCCAUCACAAUUUUGCAGCAUUCAUCAUCCAAAUUAGGGUCGAUUCAACGGCUUAUCACUACCCAUUACAUGUUAACCCAUAAUACCCAUUAAACGACGAUAAACCCCCCUUACCUGAGUUAAUCCGGC